AGGCCGUUCGCCAAGCGGUAAGGCACCGGAUUUUGAUUCCGGCAUUUCGGUGGUUCGAAUCCAUCACGGCCUGCCA
rnacentral:tRNA from 1 species